rnacentral:rRNA from 1 species
GAGAAUCUGGCUUUAGGACGGGGAUAACCACUGGAAACGGUGGCUAAGACCCGAUAUGCCGAGAGGUGAAAGUAUUUAUAGCCUAGAGGGGAGCUCGCGUCUGAUUAGCUAGUUGGUAGGGUAAGAGCCUACCAAGGCGACGAUCAGUAGCUGGUCUGAGAGGAUGAUCAGCCACACUGGGACUGAGACACGGCCCAGACUCCUACGGGAGGCAGCAGUGGGGAAUUUUCCGCAAUGGGCGAAAGCCUGACGGAGCAAUACCGCGUGGGGGAGGAAGGCUCUUGGGUUGUAAACUCCUUUUCUCAGGGAAGAACAAAAUGACGGUACCUGAGGAAUCAGCAUCGGCUAACUCCGUGCCAGCAGCCGCGGUAAUACGGAGGAUGCAAGCGUUAUCCGGAAUCAUUGGGCGUAAAGCGUCCGCAGGUGGCAAUUCAAGUCUGCUGUCAAAGGUCGGGGCUUAACUCCGAACAGGCAGUGGAAACUGAAUAGCUAGAGUAUGGUAGGGGCAGAGGGAAUUCCUGGUGUAGCGGUGAAAUGCGUAGAGAUCAGGAAGAACACCGGUGGCGAAAGCGCUCUGCUAGGCCAUAACUGACACUCAGGGACGAAAGCUAGGGGAGCGAAUGGGAUUA